rnacentral:rRNA from 1 species
ACACGGGGGGGGCAAGCGUUGUCCGGAUUCACUGGGCGUAAAGGGCGUGUAGGCGGGCAGGCAAGUCGAAGGUGAAAUUCUACGGCUCAACCGUAGAACUGCCUUCAAUACUGCUUGUCUUGAGUUCGGGAGAGGGAGGCGGAAUUCCCGGUGUAGCGGUGAAAUGCGUAGAUAUCGGGAAGAACACCGGUGGCGAAGGCGGCCUCCUGGCCCGAUACUGACGCUGAGGCGCGAAAGCGUGGGGAGCAAACAGGAUUAGAUACCCUAGUAGUCC